ACGGGGUGCAGCAGGCGCGAAAACUCCGCAAUGCGCGCAAGCGUGACGGGGGAAUCCCAAGUGCCGUUGGUCUUAUGAUCGACGGUUUUUAGGAGGUCUAAGAAGCUUCCAGAAUAAGGGCUGGGCAAGACUGGUGCCAGCCGCCGCGGUAACACCAGCAGCCCAAGUGGUGACCACGAUUAUUGGGCCUAAAGCGCUCGUAGCCGGAUCAGCAAGUCCCUUGUGAAAUCGGGCCGCCUAACGGUUCGGCGUGCAAAGGAUACUGUUGGUCUUGAGGCCGGGAGAGGUCGGAGGUACUCCUGGGGUAGCGGUGAAAUGCUCUAAUCCUAGGGGGACCACCAGUGGCGAAGGCGUCCGACCAGAACGGACCUGACGGUGAGGGGCGAAGGCUAGGGGAGCGAACGGGAUUAGAUACCCCGGUAGUCCUAGCUGUAAAGCAUGCGGGCCAGGUGUCUAGCGCUCCUUGAGGGCGCUAGGUGCCGGAGGGAAGCCGUUAAGCCCGCCGCCUGGGAAGUACGGCCGCAAGGCUGAAACUUAAAGAAAUUGGCGGGGGAGCACCACAAGAGGUGGGACCUGCGGUUCAAUUGGAUUCAACGCCGGAAAACUCACCAGGGGCGACAGCUGGUUGACGGCCAGAUUGACGAUCUUGCCCGACUAGCUGAGAGGUGGUGCAUGGCCAUCGUCAGCUCGUACCGUGAGGCGUCCUGU
rnacentral:rRNA from 1 species